UACAGAGGCCCCGAGCGUUAGGCGGAAUCACUGGGCUUAAAGCGUGUGUAGGUGGAUGCCUAAGUACCUUGUGAAAUCCCACGGCUUAACCGUGGAAUUGCUGGGUAUACUGGGUGUCUUGAGCCACUCAGGGGCUACCGGAACAAAUGGUGGAGCGGUGAAAUGCGUAGAUAGUCGGGAGGAACACCAGUGGCGAAGGCGGCUUUCUGGCCCGUUCUUGACGCUGAGGCGCGAAAGCUAGGGUAGCAAACGGG
rnacentral:rRNA from 1 species